rnacentral:rRNA from 1 species
UACGAGGGGAGCAAGCGUUGUUCGGAUUUACUGGGCGUAAAGGGCGCGUAGGCGGUCGUGACAAGUCACUUGUGAAAUCUCCGGGCUUAACUCGGGACGGUCAAGUGAUACUGUCGGGCUAGAGUACAGAAGGGGCAACUGGAAUUCUCGGUGUAGCGGUGAAAUGCGUAGAUAUCGAGAGGAACACCUGCGGCGAAGGCGGGUUGCUGGGCUGAUACUGACGCUGAUGCGCGAAAGCCAGGGGAGCGAACGGG